rnacentral:tRNA from 1 species
GGUGUAGCUCAAUUGGUAGAGCGCCGGACUGUGGCUCCGGAUGUUGCGGGUUCAAUCCCCGUCAC